rnacentral:rRNA from 1 species
AUGGAUGACAUACUGGUGCACACGGAGACUUAUACAGACCACUUGUGUCUACUGAGGCAAGUCCUUCAGCAAUUGCAGGACUAUGAACUCGUGGCCAAGAGAUCCAAAUGUUCAUUUGGUCAGACACAUAUCACCUAUUUGGGUCACCACAUCAGUGAGCAGGGGAUGUCCACUAUGACAGAGCACAUUUAG